rnacentral:rRNA from 1 species
AUACGGAGGGUGCAAGCGUUGUUCGGAAUUACUGGGCGUAAAGCGCGUGUAGGCGGUUUGGUAAGUCAGAUGUGAAAGCCCUGGGCUCAACCCGGGAAGUGCAUUUGAAACUGCCUUUCUUGAGUAUGGGAGAGGAGAGUGGAAUUCCCAGUGUAGAGGUGAAAUUCGUAGAUAUUAGGAGGAACACCCGUGGCGAAGGCGACUCUCUGGACCAAUACUGACGCUGAGACGCGAAAGCGUGGGGAGCAAACAGGAUUAGAAACCCCUGUAGUCC